GCUGUGGCAGGAACCCAGCGUCCAAAGGCGCAGAGGCUAAACCCGCCCCCUUCAACCUGCCACCUCACAGGUGGAAGGGCUGCGCCAGAAGUCCCGCCCACCGGUGGCGGGGAACGCCCUCUUGGGCCACCAUUGGCCAGCAUCGGCACGUCGCUACGACCGGGAUUCUGGGUAAUGUAGUUUUAGCCCGUCGUUCCAAAGUGGCCACUUGGGUAUCCGGGGAGCGGCCCGACUGCCCCGGGCGGCUCUCUGCGUGCUGGUCCGAGUCGUGGACUCAGUAGCGGGAUGUUCGAAGGGGCCCUGGCCCAUGAAGCUCGACUUCCCCCGGAGGCAGCAUCUUGGACCGGGUCCGCUUUCGGCAGACGGGAGCUGGUGUCCGUCCCGCCGGCGCAGAUGUGGGCGCGAGCUGAUCCCCGGCAGUCCCCGACGGCCCCGGGUGGCUGAGGGGCCUGGCGCCGGGCCUGGUGACACCUGAGGAUGUGGCUGUGCAUUUCUCCCAGGAGGAGUGGAGGCUCCUUAAGUGGCUCAGAGGCACCUGUACCAUGAUGUGAUGCUGGAGAACUUUGUUUUUUUGGUACCUGGGAUCAAACUCAGGACCUUGCACUUGCAAGGCAGGUGCAGGUGGUGGAACCACUGAGCUAAAUGCCUGGUGAUGCCCGAGAACUUUGAGCUCAUUAUCUCACUGGGGAUCAAACUCAGGACUUGUGCUUGAGAGGCAGGCAGCAGCACCACUGAGCUAAAUCCUCGGCCCUGCUUUCACACCCUUUUACCAGACAGUGCUGUAACAUUCACAUGAGGAGCUCAGCAAGACUUAGCAUCGAGACUGCAGUUUCAGAGCAUACUACUGACAAAGCUUGGCUUCAUCCACAUUGGCCAAGAAUGUCUGCAGAGCCCAGGUCUGUGUGCACCGAGCAAAACGGUGAAUUAGGAGCUGAGACAGUGGGGCAGUAACCAGCACCAUUCAUCCAGCAAGCUCCAUGCAGGACUGGUACCCGCUGUCACGUGUCCUCGGGUUGUCUGUGUGGAGCAGGAGAUGGUGAGGACCCUCCUGAGCAGCAGAAGAGCUGCCACCCAUCAGAAUGGCCUUUUGUGUCCAGCGAGUGUGGUGAACGCUUCCUGGCCAGCAGGGACCUCUCCCAGCAGCAGGCUGCCGAUGGCAAGGGAAAACUGAGGACCAGCACCAGGACGCUGCCCCUCAUGGCUCUGGCCUCAGGCAGCACCCGGCAGGCCACACUGGCAAGUGUGGGAACUCCUUCCUGAAUGAACAGCCCUGCUCAUGAAGGCCAGCCGAGGUCCCACAGCAGGUGGAAAUGCCCUCAAGGAAACAUCAGCUCUUCCUACUCAGAAAAAGAUUUAUGAUGGGGAAGCAUCACACGCAGACGGGGAGGGUGGGGAGGCCUUCACUUUUUUGUCUAACCUGAGCCUGAGCGUGCAUCAGAAGGUUCACACAGAAUUGAAACGUUCUGCCACAAAUCCACACUCAUCCAGUCCUAGAGAGUCCACAUGGGGAGAGGCCUUGUGAGUGCAGCAAGUGUGGCAAAACCUUUAGCCUUGCAUCUACCCUCAUUCUGCACUGGAAAGUUCAUACUGGGGAAAAGCCUUACAGGUGCACGGAGCAUAAGAAAUUCUUUAGCCAGAACUCCAGCCUCCUUGGUACCAGAGAGCCCACACAGGAGCAGGGCCUUACAAGUGCAGUGAGUGGAAAAACCCACAGCAGGAUCUCCUGUUUCCAGAAGGUUCACGUGAGAGAAAGGCAACAGCAGUGCCACCAUACAGAAAGCCUUCAUCAAAAUCUCCACGCGUGUCACAGCAGAGAUUUCUUAACAUAGGAAUGCUGAUACGGGGCUGGGGAUUUGCCUCAAUGGCUCCUACACCUGCCUCAAGCGCAAGGUCCUGAGUUUGAUCCCUGGUUCCAAAAAAAAGAGGCUGAUAUGAAAUUGGGCAUCAUGGCACGUGCCUAUAAUCCCAGCAUUCAGGAGGCUGAGGCAGGGGGGACGACUGUGAGUUCAAGCCCAGCCUGAACUAUGCAGCGAGACCCUAUCUGAAAAAAAUAGUAAGGGCCAGAUGUGGUGGUGCACUCGUGUAAUCUCAGCACUUGACAAACUGAGGCAGGAGGAUCGCUGGGAGUUCAAGGUUAGCCUAGGCUACAAAGUGAGUUCAAGGCCAGUCUGAACUACAUAGGGAGACCUUGACUCAAAAAACCAAUAAAUUUUUUAAAAGGCCAAUGUGGGCAGUACAUGUUUGAGAGCCUUAAGCUGCAUCUCUGAGAUGUCUGACACCAGCAGUUUCAUAUUGGAAAGGCCUGUAAGCAUGGAGUGAAUAUAGGAAAGCCUUUUUCACAUACUUUCAGCAUCCAGAAUUCACAGCCCAAAAAAGGACUUGUCAGAGCAGUGAAUGUGGAAAACUUUUCCACCAAGUUGCCAAGCUUGUUCUACACACAGGCUUUGUACUAUAGAAAGGUAAUCUCUGGGCCAGGGAUUUAGCUCAGUGGUUCUGUCACUUGCCUUGCAAGCACAAGGACCUGAGUUCGAUCCCUGGUACAAAAAAAAAAAAGAAAGAAAGAAAGAAAAAGUAAUCACUGUGGGAAACCCUUUUGUUGAAGUUCUAACCUUACUCCCUACCACAAAUUUACCUUGGAGAAAGGCCUUUCUAUCCAGAUCUUCAGUAAAAAGAUGAAGACUGUUCAGCCUGUAGCACGUUGCCUAUUGCUAUAUAACAAACACCCACUAUCAUCACAACACCCAUUUCCAAGCUCAAA
rnacentral:lncRNA from 1 species